AUGAGCGUCGCCCUCCUGUGCUGGGGGGUCUGGGGUCUCCUGCAGGCAGGUGUGGUGAAGGCUGGGGUCUCUCAGAGCCCGAGAUACCAGAUCCUGAGGACAAAACAGCGUGGGCAGCUGAGCUGUGCCCAGGAUAUGGACUAUAACUACAUGUACUGGUAUCGCCAGGACCCGGAACUCGGGCUAAGGCUUCUCCAUUACUCAGCGAAUACUAAUCUCAGCGCUGAAGGAGACAUCCCUGGUGGGUACAAGGUCUCUAGACCAGACAAAGCCAAGUUCCUGCUCACGCUGGAGUCUGCCACCACCUCCCAGACAGCUGUGUACUUCUGUGCCACCAGCUAUGCACAGCGCUGCAGGCUCACCUCCUCUCUGCACAAGAAGGCGGGGCUCUCACCCCGGGGCUCAUCAGAGCACUUGUACACUGUCAGCACAGUGAGUUCUGAAGCCCUGGGGUCCCCGCCGAAGCUGUGA